AUUGGGCGGUGCCCGGAGAGAGGCCAAUGCAGGGGCUGAGUCGGCAGAGGGAGCUGAAUGCUGACAUCGGUGCGGGCUGCGCGUGGCCAGCUCAGCGAGCGCUUCGCAGACUAGCAUAUCCUUUCCUUUACUAUUUUAUCUUACUUUUGAGUCUUAAAACGGGACUCUUAGGGAAGAUUAGGGAUUCUUGCCUCCCUUUUAGAGAUGGGGAAACUGAGGCUCCGAGAGGCUGCCAGUCACCGUGAAUCAAUUACUGAGCAUCACCCGUGCUUAUUAGAACGUGCUUCCAGAAAGAAAUUCACAAAUCAGAAGGUCUUUCAAAAGUAUUAAAAGAAAGUGGAAUGCUCUUUGCCAAUCGGCCCGUCCCAGUAAAAUAUGGUCGCCACAUGUCGGGGAAGGACGGACCGUUCCUGGGCUGCGUUCACCGUGCAUUCAAUAAACAGCCACGUGGUAACAUUAUUAUUCGUCUUCCUGCUCUCCUGCCUCCUGGUUUUGUCUCUGCCUCUGUCUUUCCCAGCAAAUAUAAUCCGGGGGCACCUGGACCCCGCCUGGCUGGCCUCUCUGAUUACGCCCAAGGAUUAAAAAACAGGACAGGAAAGUGCAAAGGUCACACAGCUCAGAAGUUACACAGCCGCAAUUCCAGUCCAGCUGUGAUAGAUCCAGCACAAAAAUGUCCCCUGCCUUUAUCCACAUCCGUGGCAGGAGACUUUGCAGCUCUUCCCAUCAGGAGACAGAGCCUGUUUCCCCACCUCUGGCAUCGGGGCUGGCCGUGUGACCUGUCUGGAGCAGCAGAAUGGGGCAGAAGCCUAGGCCACGAGGAGCAUGCACCUCCUGACAACAGACCCAGGUUGAUCAUCUGGGUGACGAGAGGCUCCUGGUCUGGUCACUCCCUCGCCCACGGCGACAGCUGGCCAUCCACGGAAUGUGUGGGUGGGGCCAUGCUAGACCACCCAGCCCCUUGCUCUUCGGCCCGCUGACCAGAGACAUCUCUGGAGCCCAGCCCAGAUCCGCGGAGCCCCAGCGUACUCAAGCAGCACCAACCGGCUGGCUGUGGCGGUGAAUUUUAUGAGUCAACUUGACAGGGCCGUGGCUGCCCAGCUGAUUGGUUAACCGUCAUGCUGGGUGUGUCUGUGAGGGUGUUCCCGGAAGAGAGUAGCAUGUGAAUUGGUAAACUGAGGAAAGCAGAUGGCCAUCCCAGCCUGGGUGGGGCUCAGCCAUCCCGUUGGAAGCCUUAGGAGAACAAAAGGUGACAUGAAGGAGAAUUCUCUUUCUCUGCUUGUCUUUAAGCUGGGACAUGGGUCUCCUCCCGCCUGCGGGCUCUGACUGGGACUUGCCCCUCCCCUCUCCUGAUGGCCAGCUUGUCACCUGCAGAUGGUGGGAUCUCAGCUUGGGUCACUGCGUGAGCCAAUUCCUAUAAUACAUCUCUCUCUCUCCUAUGUGUCUCCUAUUGGUUCUGUUUCUCUGGAGAACCCAGGAUAAUUGGCUGACUGUAGACUCAUGAGCAAUAACAGGUGCUAACUGUUUUAGGCCCCUGGGCCAUGGGCUGGCUUGUUGCGCGGCAAUAGCUAACUGAUACACUGUAUCUGCCUGUGGCCUUGGAGCUGCCCCAUCGCCUUCCGUGCUCUGUGGACCUUUCUCACAGGACAGGUUUCUUCAAACAGCAGCUCAUCUCGGGCUCCUGACACUUUUUAGUUUAAUACAAUUCAGCAAAUAUUUGAGUGACUCUGCUGCCAGCUGUGCUGCGGGCAGAUGCCUCCUUCGCACGUACAGAGGAUCACUGAGACCUGCUUUGAAAAGUGAGCUCGUUUUCUGACUUUGGGCUCCGGGUCCUGCAAAGGCACCACUGACCCCCACUCCCCACCGGCUCAGCUCCGGCCACACUGGCCGCUUCCUGCUUCUCGACUGUGCAGCCCUCGUCCUCACCUGCUGUGGGUUGAACCGUGUCCCUUAAUAGCUCCUGGAACCUGG
rnacentral:lncRNA from 1 species